rnacentral:piRNA from 1 species
UGCCCAAUCAAGUCAUUCACUUGCUAAAU